rnacentral:rRNA from 1 species
GACGAACGCUGGCGGCGUGCCUAAUACAUGCAAGUCGAACGCAGUGGGGACGGGUGCGUAACACGUGGGUAACCUCCCAUCAGAGGGGAUAACCCUUGGAAACAGGUGCUAAACCGCUACUGAUGGCUGGCCCCGCGGUGCAUUCGCUAGUUGGUGAGGUAACGGCGCACCAAGGCCACGAUGCAUAGCCGAGCUGAGAGGGUGACCAGCCACACUGGAACUGAGACACGGCCCAGACUCCUACGGGAGGCAGCAGUGGGGAAUAUUCGGCAAUGGACGAAAGUCUGAUGGAGCAACGCCGCGUGAGUGAAGAAGGUUUUCGGAUCGUAAAACUCUUUUGGUAAAGAGGCGGUAUCUAACGAGAAAGCAACGGCUAACUACGUGCCAGCAGCCGCGGUAAUAC